GAUGAAGAACGUAGCGAAAUGCGAUAAGUAAUGUGAAUUGCAGAAUUCAGUGAAUCAUCGAAUCUUUGAACGCACAUUGCGCCCGCCAGUAUUCUGGCGGGCAUGCCUGUUCGAGCGUCAUUUCAACCCUCAGGCCCCGCCUGGCGUUGGGGAUCGGCGCGGCCCUCUCCGGGCUGCCGGCCCCGAAAACUAGUGGCGGUCUCGCUGUAGUCCUCCUCUGCGCAGUAGCAACGCUCGCACUGGAACUCGGCGCGGCCACGCCGUAAAACACCCAACUUCUGAAUGUUGACCUCGAAUCAGGUAGGAAUACCCGCUGAACUUAAGCAUAUCAAUAAGCGGAGGA
rnacentral:misc_RNA from 1 species